GCUGGAAGGUUAAGGGGAUCUGUUAGAGCAAUCGAAGCAGUGAACUUAAGCCCCAGUAAACGGCGGCCGUAACUAUAACGGUCCUAAGGUAGCGAAAUUCCUUGUCGGGUAAGUGCCGACCCGCACGAAAGGCGUAACGAUUUGGGCACUGUCUCAACAACAGACUCGGUGAAAUUGUAAUUCCGGUGAAGAUGCCGGAUACCUGCGACAGGACGGAAAGACCCCAUGGAGCUUUACUGUAG
rnacentral:rRNA from 1 species